UACGGAGGAUGCAAGCGUUAUCCGGAUUUAUUGGGUUUAAAGGGUGGGCAGGUUGUUUGAUAAGUCAGUGGUGAAAGUCUGUCGCUUAACGGUAGGAUUGCCAUUGAUACUGUUAGACUUGAAUAUGGAUGAGGUAGGCGGAAUGUGUAGUGUAGCGGUGAAAUGCAUAGAUAUUACACAGAACACCGAUUGCGAAGGCAGCUUACUAAUCCAUCAUUGACGCUGAGGCACGAAAGCGUGGGGAUCAAACAGGAUUA
rnacentral:rRNA from 1 species